rnacentral:lncRNA from 1 species
UGCCUAUUGGUCCGCAGUAUUAAGAAUUUGUUAAAGUAUCUUUGCUUUAGCAUUUGUGAAUUUCAGGUAUAAUAUGUAAUAGGACAAGAAAAAACUCUGGAAUAAAUAUAUAUCAGACUGUGAAAGGGUAUAAAGCCCAUGGAGCUAAGUGCUUCCUGUUAAGUCAACUUUUAAAACAGCUUCUCUCUGGGCAGUAAUUCACAUUUUUCAAGGGGAGAAAGGAUAGGUGAAGUUGAAUUGUUCAAAUUAAGUCAAAAUGAAUUGCUUAAUAUUCAGAGGAGUUGAUGAAUGAACCAUUAAAUCAACACUUGCAUAGCGUUUCAUUGAAAAGAAAAAUGAACAACUCUCCAUUGUGUGCUGGGCAGAAUAGGUCAGCCAGUGACGUUGCUACAUCAGUGUGCUGAACUGAGCUCCUCCUGCUACCAGAUGUGUUUGCUCGGUGACAUUCCACGGGCAUGGGAACGAGCUCUCGUGCUCUGUGAUGAGGACUUAGCAUCUGCUCUAAAUGACCGUAAUCGUCCCAGCCUCAUCUCGAAGGAGAGAGAUCUUGGUUAGGUUUCAUUUGGCAUAAAUUAACAUAAUUUUAUUGAUGCCUCAUGUUGAUGUAUAUCUGUUGGGAAUCCACUUCUGUAUUUCAAGCUGUGGUUUUGUUUUGUUUCUCCACCAAGGAAGAGCUGUAUUUUUGAAUGCCAGUUUGAGGAAGAAAUUAUACUGAUAAAUGGAAAAAUAAGGGUCAUUAUUUUGAAACAAGGCUGACAAGAUUCCUUGUAGUAAAAGCUGUUUUCAGAGCAUCACCUCUCAGCAAUACAGAGGGCGAGCCUUGCUUCCAAACCCUUUGGUUAGCCUAGGUACAACUGUUGUAAUAAUUUUCUUGCCACAGAGAAAUUACCUUUGCCUUUUCUCCUUUAAGUCCUCAGAAUUCUUGUUUUGGAAUGUAUUGAGGAUGUUGACUGUAGCCUUAUUGUGCCUUCUGGAAACUUCCAACACUUUGAAGAGUCAUGGACAGUACGCCCUUGAUGUUUUUCAGUUGCACCUCUUUGCUUUACAGAGCGUUUCUCUGGCAUAAAUGAUAUGUUGCGAUAUUUUCUUCCUGUGUAAGACUCUCCUCAUAUAAAAACAUGGGUUAGUUUUCCUGGUGGAAUGUCUG